rnacentral:rRNA from 1 species
GCCAAAAAUCUAGCCCCCCCCCCCCCACUAAAACACCCCCUUAUUUCAUUAAACCAAGUAAACCAUUCUGUAAAUUGAGUAUAGGAGAUAAAAAAAUUAACCGGAGCUAUAAAACAAGUACCGCAAGGGAAAGCUGAAAUAUAAAUGAAAUAAACGCUUAAGCAUAAAAAAGUAAAGACUUCCCCUUGUACCUUUUGCAUCAUGGUUUAACUAGUCUUCAUCAAGCAAAAAGAAUUUAAGUUUGCCCCCCCGAAACUAAGUGAGCUACUCCAAGGCAGCCUUUUGAGCCAACCCGUCUCUGUUGCAAAAGAGUGGGAAGACCUUAGAGUAGAGGUGAUAGACCAAACGAACUUAGUGAUAGCUGGUUACCUGAUAAAAGAAUUUUAGUUCUACCUAAAGCCUCCUCAAGUCUAUAAUCUAACAAUCAUGCUUUAGAGUUAUUCAAAUAAGGUACAGCCUAUUUGAAUUAGGAAACAACCUAAACUAAUGGGUUAAUUUUUACAACAUACUUAAGUGGGCCUAAAAGCAGCCACCUUAAACAAUAGCGUCAAAGCUUUUCUAUAUAAGUAAUUCAAUUCCAUUACCCAACCUAAACCCUUUUUUACCAUCAGGUAAUUCUAUACAACUAUAGAAUAUAAACUGUUAAAACUAGUAACAAGAAGAAAACCCUUCUCUUUAAUGUAAGUGUAAGCCAGAAAGGAUAAGCCACUGUCAAUUAACAUUAGUAGCUUUAAUUUAGCAACAUAACAAGAAAACCCUAACAAAAUAAGUGUUAAACUAACACAAGAACAUUUCAAGAAAGAUUAAAAGAAAAAGAAGGAACUCGGCAAACAUCAACCCCGCCUGUUUACCAAAAACAUCGCCUCUUGAUAAACAUAAGAGGUCCAGCCUGCCCAGUGACCUAGUUCAACGGCCGCGGUAUCCUAACCGUGCGAAGGUAGCGUAAUCACUUGUUCUUUAAAUGAGGACUAGUAUGAAUGGCACCACGAGGGUUACACUGUCUCCUUUUUUUAAUCAGUGAAACUAAUUUUCCCGUGAAGAAGCGGGAAUUUUAUUAUAAGACGAGAAGACCCUAUGGAGCUUUAAACAAACCAACACUUGCUGCCCAAAAUAAAUUUUUCAGAAACACAGUACAAAGCAUAGCAUUAUGAUUAGUAGUUUUCGAUUGGGGUGAUCACGGAGUAAAAAACAACCUCCACGCCGAAUAGGGCUUUCCCCUGAGCAAAAAGUUACAACUUUAAGCACUAAAAAAUUAACGUUUAUUGACCCAACACUUUGAUCAACGAACCAAGUUACCCUAGGGAUAACAGCGCAAUCCACUUCAAGAGCUCCUAUCGACAAGUGGGUUUACGACCUCGAUGUUGGAUCAGGGUAUCCCAGUGGUGCAGCCGCUACUAACGGUUCGUUUGUUCAACGAUUAAAACCCU